CGAGGCGUAGCGCAGUCUGGUUAGCGCAUCCGUUCUGGGUACAGAGGGCCAUAGGUCCGAAUUCCGUCACCCCGA
rnacentral:tRNA from 1 species